rnacentral:rRNA from 1 species
UAGGGAAUCUUCCACAAUGGGCGCAAGCCUGAUGGAGCAACACCGCGUGAGUGAAGAAGGGUUUCGGCCCGUAAAACUCUGUUGUUGAAGAAGAACGUGCGUGAGAGUAACUGUUCACGCAGUGACGGUAUUCAACCAGAAAGUCACGGCUAACUACGUG